CUUGGCUGUGGCUUCUGUGGAGAAGAUGAGGUCUGAGGGCAACACCCUUCCCCACAGCUCCUUCAACUUGAUGAGUGGCUGAAGCCUGUGUCCCAGUGACUGCUGGGGUUCCAAGGAAGUUUGUAAGUGUAGAAAGGGCUAAGCAGGUAAGAGAUAGGGGAGCAAACUGAAUGUGAGACGUUUGAUGAGAAGAACUUAGGCUGGAGCACGGACUGGCUGGACUCAAAUUCUUGCUCUUAGUUCUAUGACCUUGGGCUAUUUCUCUAUGCCUGAGUUUCUUCAUCUGAAAAUGGGACAAGUGAGUCCCUUUCUCAUGAAGUUGCUGUGAGGAGUACAUGAAAUUAUACAUGUAAAAGCCUUGGAACAUAUACUAAGUGCUAUUUAAGCAAGAGUUUGGGUUGGAUGCAUUGGCUCAUCCCAGCACUGUGGGAAGCGGAGGUGGGAGGAUCGCUUGAGGCCGGGAGUUUGAGACCAGCCUGGUCAACAUAGCGAGACUCCAUCUCUACAAAAGAAGAAAAAUUAGCCAGGCAUGAUGGUGUGUGCCUGUAGUGAUCACUUGAGCCCAGAAGUUCAAGGCUGCAGUGAGCUAUGAUUAUGCCACUACACUCCAGCCUGGGUGACAGAGCAAGACCCUGUCAGAAAGAAAGAGAGAAAGAGAGAGAGAGAGAGAAAGGAAGGAAAGAAAGAAGGAAGGAAGGAAGGAAGGAGAGAGAGAAAGAUUCUAGAAUCUCUAGAUUUGGGGAAGCCCAAAGAGCAACACUAAGACAAGAGACAGGCAGACUGGUCACAGAAGAGUGAUUUCUAUAGGAGGGGAUGGAUGGGUUGGGAAGUAACUAGAAAGACGUCCACAGGGUGGGCUGGGGUAUGGAAGUGAGGGUUGCCUGGGCUCUCUCACCAUGGCACCCUCUGGCAGAGUCAGUCUGUUCUCCUCCCUGAUGGGACCUCCUUCCCGCUCCCUCUUGGGCUCCACUGUAGAAAUGGAUGGUGCCCGAGGCAGGGGGCCAUCCCCACGAUGCCGUUUGGUCACAUGGGCGUCAGGACCAUGCACUGUCUUGACAUGUUUUCGCAGCGAGCUGGGAUCUGUAUAGCGUUUGGUGCAGCCAGGGAGCUUACACACAUACGGCUUCUGUUGAGUGCAGAGUGGAGACAAAGGCAAAUGGAUCAAAGUGGAAGAAUGCAGAAGAAAUGGGAAAAAGUGAUGACAACACGGGGGACAGGGGAAGAGCACACAGCACCAAAGGAAGUGCGUCUUCAGGUUUUCGAGGCGUGAAUAUGACUUCCGGCACCCUUCAAACUGGGGGACAUGCGGGGUUCAAAGGAUAGUUCUCAGACAGAGGACAUGGAGAUGGAAGGAAUCCUCAGUCUCCAAAAGGACACACAUCAGAGAAUAUAACUCAAGACGAAAGGCACUGGGGCUUUGAGAGAAUUCCCAAAACUAGGGGACAAGGGCAGAAGAAAGGACUUACAAAAGCAAAAGUCUGCCUUGGGCCCUAUCUUGAAGGAGAGCCCCGAUUUAGGAAGAGACCCUGGACUUGGGACCCUGGUGCCUCACCGUGCACUUGUGUGGCUUCUCGCCAGUGUGUCUGCGCAUGUGCACCACCAGCAUGUACUGGGCUUUGAAGGGCCUCAGCUCCCUGGAGCAGCCCCCCCAGUGGCACACGAACUCCUUCCGCUCCCCGUGGAUGUGCUCGCUGUUGAUAUGCUGAGGGAGAAGAUACAAAGGCUCUCCGAGGCUCCGCCAUGCCCCCAAGGUCCAGAACAGACCUUCCCUCCACUCCCUGUUCCUCUUCCACGACUCCACCUCAAGGAGGAAGAGGCAGGAACAAUAUCAUAUCUCACAUCUCAGGUCUUCCAGCUCCCUAAGGCAAAGUUACAACUUCUGAGCUUCUGCCUACCCAACUGAGCAUUCAACCUCAGUCUCCUCUGACCUCCUGCCCUCAGCCAGAUUCUACCAUGUCCCACUCAGAAUCUCCUCAAGUUUCUAAAGUUUCCGGUUAGCCAUUCCUGUUACCCCCUGGGGCUCACGUGCACCAGCUGCUCUUGGGAAUCAAAUUCCUGGCUGCAGCCAUCCCAACGGCAGUCAGUCUCAUACACAGAUUCAGGCUCACGCUUCUCCUCUCUCUCAAGGUCCUCUCGCCCAUCCAGCAUCCCCAACAGGGAAUCCUAGGGCAAGAGAGGCAAUCUUAGGGUCACUUGGGUGACAGCUUUAGUUUUGCUCAGGUCCUAGAGGUAAAGCUCCCGCCCAUCCCCUUACCUGUAUGCCUGUGGAGUUGGGGCUGGACAUAUCACCUUCCAAGGGCUCCUCCCGGCACUUGCCAACCAGCAUGUCCAGCUCAGACUUCAGCUUCCCCAGGGGAAGAGGUGACGGUGAUGAGGGUGGAAGUCAGCAGAAGGAAGAGUAAACCAAGCCAGGUCUUCCUGCCCUAAGUGCCCCCACCCAAGCAGCUGGAACCUUCUGGGUUUGGAAGGGACUUCCUUCUCAGACUACACUGGUGAAUGGGAUGGGCAAAAGAUCCCAUUUGGAAGUGUCUGACUCAACUGCAAGGAGUGAACCCCAGCACCCACACUUCUUUACUUUUCUAGUACUGAAAACUUAUAACCCUUGUCCUUCCUUCACCUUUCCCCUACAGAAUCCACCACCCACCCACCCUGAGCUAAGGGAAAUCAGGUAGCAAUAUGGGGACUCUCACCUGGCAAGUUGGGAGGGGUCCCCGGGACUGAGGGUGUGGGAUCAUCCCACCCCGGACGGAGUCAUGGGGACCACAAGGCUGGACUCCGAAGGAAGGUGAGGGCCCUUUUUGGUGAUUCAUCUGGGCUGGGAAUCCCAGAGACGGGCUAAGGAGGAGAGAAGGCAGUUACUUAAGACAAUCUGGAAGUCUCAGGAGGGAUUGGGCUAUUUGGAGGAUUUCUGGAAGACUUGGGAUUUGAAGUGGUUGAGGCAGUCCCAGGGAAGUACUGAGGAGGGUUGUCCUUGAAAUGACAAGGAUUCAAAUAGGGUCAGGUGGUUUGAGGGCUUGAGACUUUUAAUGGACUUGGGUAGGGGCUCUAGGGGCCUCUUGGCCCGGGGCUGACUGCACCUCAUGGUGCUGAUGGAGAGAUGGCCAUAAGAGCCUCCUGGAGAUGUGCAUCGCGAGUUGAUGAAAGCUACGAGGGAGCUGGGUGAAGUGCGGAUAACCGUCUGCAAGUCCAGGCUGGCGUCCGACAGAGGUGAAAUGGACAGUGCCCGCUUCUUGGUCAACUUGACUGCACUCCGGGAAGAAGAAAAGAGUGGGCCUGGGGCAGGAGACAGGGGAGAUGGAUAUGGUAAAGGGGCAUGUCUCUCCACACACCUAACCUAUAGGUCCUGACUUGGCAAAACCAAUGAGACUUGAAUCUGCUUUGCCCUACUGAUCCUAUGUGUGACUUUUUUUUUUUUUUUGAGACAGAGAGAGAGUCAUGCUCUGUCACC